rnacentral:misc_RNA from 1 species
UCUCCGUUGGUGAACCAGCGGAGGGAUCAUUACAGAGUAGCAAAACUCCCAAACCAUUGUGAACGUUACCUAUCCCGUUGCUUCGGCGGGCGGCCCGGGCCCCGCGCCCGGCGCCCCCCGGCCCCCCGUGGGCGCCCGCCGGAGGUAAACCAGACCCUUGAAUUGCAUGGCCUCUCUGAGUCUUCUGUACUGAAUAAGUCAAAACUUUCAACAACGGAUCUCUUGGUUCUG